rnacentral:rRNA from 1 species
ACGCGAAGAACCUUACCUGGGUUUGAAAUGUAGUGGUAAGCCUCAGAGAUGAGGUCCCCUCUUCGGAGGCCGCUACAUAGGUGCUGCAUGGCUGUCGUCAGCUCGUGUCGUGAGAUGUUGGGUUAAGUCCCGCAACGAGCGCAACCCUUGUCCAUAGUUACUAACGCGUGAUGGCGAGAACUCUAUGGAGACUGCCGGUGAUAAACCGGAGGAAGGUGGGGAUGACGUCAAGUCCUCAUGGCCUUUAUGUCCAGGGCUACACACGUGCUACAAUGGACGGUACAAAGAGUUGCGAUCCCGUGAGGGGGAGCUAAUCUCAAAAAGCCGUUCUCAGUUCGGAUUGCACUCUGCAACUCGAGUGCAUGAAGCUGGAAUCGCUAGUAAUCGCGGAUCAGCACGCCGCGGUGAAUACGUUCCCGGGCCUUGUA